UACGGGGGGGCAAGCGUUGUUCGGAAUUACUGGGCGUAAAGGGCUCGUAGGCGGCCAACUAAGUCAGACGUGAAAUCCCUCAGCUUAACUGGGGAACUGCGUCUGAUACUGGAUGGCUAGAGUGUGGGAGAGGGAUGCGGAAUUCCAGGUGUAGCGGUGAAAUGCGUAGAUAUCUGGAGGAACACCGGUGGCGAAGGCGGCAUCCUGGACCACGACUGACGCUGAGUGAGCGAAAGCCAGGGGAGCAAACGGG
rnacentral:rRNA from 1 species